rnacentral:rRNA from 1 species
UGGGGAAUAUUGGACAAUGGGCGCAAGCCUGAUCCAGCCAUGCCGCGUGAGUGAUGAAGGCCCUAGGGUUGUAAAGCUCUUUCACCGGUGAAGAUAAUGACGGUAACCGGAGAAGAAGCCCCGGCUAACUUCGUGCCAGCAGCCGCGGUAAUACGAAGGGGGCUAGCGUUGUUCGGAUUUACUGGGCGUAAAGCGCACGUAGGCGGACUAUUAAGUCAGGGGUGAAAUCCCGGGGCUCAACCCCGGAACUGCCUUUGAUACUGGUAGUCUUGAGUUCGAGAGAGGUGAGUGGAAUUCCGAGUGUAGAGGUGAAAUUCGUAGAUAUUCAGAGGAACACCAGUGGCGAAGGCGGCUCACUGGCUCGAUACUGACGCUGAGGUGCGAAAGCGUGGGGAGCAAACAGG